CCGCCCCGCACGGGCCGCACUAUGCGUGUACGCAUGCGCCCACUAGUCCAAGCAUCUUAUGGGGCGCUUUGCGCAUGUGCCAUUUCGACGCUGAUGGAGAGGGCUUGAGCUUCUAGUUUCUGGAAUUCCCAGCCUCGUUCUCGCUUCCCGGCUCGGUGGUGCCUGCGGCCUUCCCAGCUGCUGCGGUGUCACGCUGCACGCGCUGUGGGCGGGAACGGGGGGAUUGUAUGAGGCAGCCUGGAACCGUCAGUUUCCCGCCUCGCGAGUGCGCGCGACGCCCGCUUGGCGCUUUGGGUGAGCGCUGUGUCCCGCUGUCCUCAGGUCGCCCGCGCGGGCCAUCCACGGCGUCGGCUCCGUCCGCAGGCCGCUGUCUCCUGUGCUGAGGAGACUGGUAGCAGUAUAAGUGUGAGAAGUUAGAAUGACAGCCACCACCUUUAUAAAAUGCUUCAAGACCUUUUAUUCAGUGUGAAGACAGUCUGAAGCUCAUUUGGAAACCUGCUCUUUGUACACGUGAGAAUAAACUGGCUGCAUUGCUUUGGAUGUUUGUUCUCUGUAGAACACGGCAAUCCACUAGAACAACUCAGCAUGAAUUCUCUUACUGAAUAAACCCUCUGUCAUAGGAGUUGAGACUUUCCAACAUAGAGCAACACCAUUCAAUCACGUCAUCUGUG